ensembl:lncRNA
UUUUUUUGAAUAUUUUUUUGAAUAUUUUUUUUUCACCAUCCAUCCUCCCACUGGUUCCCUAUGAAGAUCACUCCUUUUGUUUUCCUGGCAAUGUUGUAGAACGCAAGAUAUGUGGCAAACACAGGUUUCCUUCCCCCCUUAUCAAAUGUAAUACUCUUUGUAAUCAAACAUUCCUUUGAAUAUUUCUUGAAUAUUUUCAUGAAUAUUUCCGUGAAUAUUUCCGUGAAUGUUUCCGUGAAUAUUUUUUGAUUAUUUUUUUGAAUAUUUUUUUUUCACCAUCCAUCCUCCCACUGGUUCCCUAUGAAGAUCACUUCUUUUGUUUUCCUGGCAAUGUUGUAGAACGCAAGAUAUGUGGCAAACACAGGUUUCCUUUCCCCCUUAUCAAAUGUAAUACUCUUUGUAAUCAAACAUUCCUUCGAAUAUUUCUUGAAUAUUUUCAUAAAUAUUUCCCUGAAUAUUUCCCUGAAUAUUUUUUGAUUAUUUUUUUGAAUAUUAUUUUGAAUAUUUUUUUUCACCAUCCAUCCUCUCACUGGUUCCCGAUGAAGAUCACUCCUUUUGUUUUCCUGGCAAUAUUGUAGAACGCAAGAUAUGUGGCAAACACAGGUUUCCUUUCCCCCUUAUCAAAUGUAAUACUCUUUGUAAUCAAACAUUCCUUUGAAUAUUUCUUGAAUAUUUUCAUGAAUAUUUCUGUGAAUAUUUCCGUGAAUAUUUUUUGAUUAUUUUUUAUAAUAUUUUUUUUUCACCAUCCAUCCUCCCACUGGUUCCCUAUGAAGAUCACUCCUUUUGUUUUCCUGGCAAUGUUGUAGAACGCAAGAUAUGUGGCAAACACAGGUUUCCUUUCGCCUCUUAUCAAAUGUAGUACUCUUUGUAAUCAAAAAUUCUGUUGGAUAUUUCUUGGAAUAUUUUCAUAAAUAUUUCCCUGAAUAUUUCCCUGAAUAUUUUUUUGAUUAUUUUUUUGAAUAUUAUUUUGAAUAUUUUUUUUUCACCAUCCAUUCCUCUCACUGGGGUUCCCGAUGAAGAUCACUCCUUUUGUUUUCCUGGCAAUAUUGUAGAAACGCAAGAUAUGUGGCAAACACAGGUUUCCUUCCCCCCUUAUCAAAUGUAAUACUCUUUGUAAUCAAACAUUCCUUCGAAUAUUUCUUAAAUAUUUUCAUGAAUAUUUCCGUGAAUAUUUCCGUAAAUAUGUUUUGAUUAUUUUUUUGAAUAUUUAUUUGAAUAUUUUUUUGAAUAUUUUUUUUAUAAUAUUUUUUUUUCACCAUCCAUCCUCCCACUGGUUCCCUAUGAAGAUAACUCCUUUUGUUUUCCUGGCUAUGUUGUAGAACACAAGAUAUGUGGCAAACACAGGUUUCCUUCCCCCCUUAUAGAAUGUAAUACUCUUUGUAAUCAAUCAUUCUGUCGAAUAUUUCUUGAAUAUUUUCAUGAAUCACAUUCUUCUUGUGCUGCAAAACCACACAAGUUCAAAAC